AACGAACGCUGGCGGCAGGCCUCAAACAUGCAAGUCUAGGGGGUGUAGCAAUACAUCACCGGCGGACGGGUGCGUAACACGUGGGAAUAUACCUUUUGGUUCGGAACAACGCAGGGAAACUUGCGCUAAUACCGAAUGUGCCCUUACGGGGAAAGAUUUAUCGCCAAAGGAUUAGCCCGCGUAGGAUUAGCUAGUUGGUGAGGUAAUGGCUCACCAAGGCUCCGAUCCUUAGCUGUUCUGAGAGGAAGAUCAGCCACACUGGGACUGAGACACGGCCCAGACUCCUACGGGAGGCAGCAGUUGGGAAUCUUGGACAAUGGGGGGAAACCCUGAUCCAGCCAUGCCGCGUGAGUGAUGAAGGCCUUCGGGUUGUAAAACUCUUUACGACGGGGACGGAUAAUGACGGUACCCGUAGAAGAAGCUCCGGCUAACUUCGUGCCAGCAGCCGCGGU
rnacentral:rRNA from 1 species